CCUACGGGAGGCAGCAGUAGGGAAUCUUCCACAAUGGACGAAAGUCUGAUGGAGCAACGCCGCGUGAGUGAAGAAGGGUUUCGGCUCGUAAAGCUCUUUUUGUAGUGAAGAAAGAUCGAGGUAGUAUCUGGCCUUUAGUUGACGGUAAUUACUUAGAAAGUCACGUGUAACUACGUGCCCGCAGCCGCUGUAAUACGUAGGUGGCAGGCGUUGUCCGGAUUUAUUGGGCGUAAAGGGAGUCCAGGCGGUUCAGUAAGUCUGAUGUGAAAGCCUUCGGCUCAACCGGAGAAUUGCAUCAGAAACUGUUGAACUUGAGUGCAGAAGAGGAGAGUGGAACUCGAGGUGUAGCGGUGGAAUGCGUAGAUAUAUGGAAGAACACCAGUGGCGAAGGCGGCUCUCUGGUCUGCAACUGACGCUGAGGCUCGAAAGCAUGGGUAGCGAACAGGAUUAGAUACCCGAGUAGUC
rnacentral:rRNA from 1 species